GCAGUACUGCAGCGUCAGUCUUAAUUCAGACCUCUUGCCGGGUGUAUCUCCGUGAAAGAUUGAUGGUGAAACUGGCAAAAAGCCUCAGUGAAAAGUGCUUAAGAUAAGCUACGUGAAAAACUUUUAAUCUGAAGUAAAGAAACCUCCAAGAGAAAGUGGUGACCAUGAAUUUGUUUUCACGCUUAAAACGCUUGGGCCAUGCUGCCAGCAAGAAUUCCGUGACUUUGCCUGUUACUGGUAAGUUGUUUUCAGAUUAAAUUUCGCGCCAAGCGAUUUUAUAUCAUUUGGCUUUUG